UCGCUCAACGGAUAAAAGGUACUCCGGGGAUAACAGGCUGAUACCGCCCAAGAGUUCAUAUCGACGGCGGUGUUUGGCACCUCGAUGUCGGCUCAUCACAUCCUGGGGCUGAAGUAGGUCCCAAGGGUAUGGCUGUUCGCCAUUUAAAGUGGUACGCGAGCUGGGUUUAGAACGUCGUGAGACAGUUCGGUCCCUAUCUGCCGUGGGCGCUGGAGAACUGAGGGGGGCUGCUCCUAGUACGAGAGGACCGGAGUGGACGCAUCACUGGUGUUCGGGUUGUCAUGCCAAUGGCACUGCCCGGUAGCUAAAUGCGGAAGAGAUAAGUGCUGAAAGCAUCUAAGCACGAAACUUGCCCCGAGAUGAGUUCUCCCUGAGACUUAGAGUCUCCUGAAGGAACGUUGAAGACGACGACGUUGAUAGGCCGGGUGUGUAAGCGCAGCGAUGCGUUGAGCUAACCGGUACUAAUGAACCGUGAGGCUUAACCUUACA
rnacentral:rRNA from 1 species